rnacentral:rRNA from 1 species
ACGGGAGGCAGCAGUGGGGAAUAUUGCACAAUGGGGGAAACCCUGAUGCAGCGAUGCCGCGUGAAGGAAGAAGGUCUUCGGAUUGUAAACUUCUUUUAUGAGGGACGAAGGACGUGACGGUACCUCAUGAAUAAGCCACGGCUAACUACGUGCCAGCAGCCGCGGUAAUACGUAGGUGGCAAGCGUUAUCCGGAUUUACUGGGUGUAAAGGGCGCGUAGGCGGGAAGGCAAGUCAGGUGUGAAAUCUAUGGGCUUAACCCAUAAACUGCAUUUGAAACUGUCUUUCUUGAGUGCUGGAGAGGUAGACGGAAUUCCUUGUGUAGCGGUGAAAUGCGUAGAUAUAAGGAAGAACACCAGUGGCGAAGGCGGUCUACUGGACAGCAACUGACGCUGAGGCGCGAAAGCGUGGGGAGCAAACAGGAUUAGAUACCCUGGUA